AGUGAACGCUGGCGGUAGGCCUAACACAUGCAAGUCGAACGGCAGCACAGUAAGAGCUUGCUCUUACGGGUGGCGAGUGGCGGACGGGUGAGGAAUACAUCGGAAUCUACUUUUUCGUGGGGGAUAACGUAGGGAAACUUACGCUAAUACCGCAUACGACCUACGGGUGAAAGCAGGGGAUCUUCGGACCUUGCGCGAUUGAAUGAGCCGAUGUCGGAUUAGCUAGUUGGCGGGGUAAAGGCCCACCAAGGCGACGAUCCGUAGCUGGUCUGAGAGGAUGACCAGCCACACUGGAACUGAGACACGGUCCAGACUCCUACGGGAGGCAGCAGUGGGGAAUAUUGGACAAUGGGCGCAAGCCUGAUCCAGCCAUACCGCGUGGGUGAAGAAGGCCUUCGGGUUGUAAAGCCCUUUUGUUGGGAAAGAAAAGCAGCAGGUUAAUACCCCGCUGUUCUGACGGUACCCAAAGAAUAAGCACCGGCAACUUCGUG
rnacentral:rRNA from 1 species